UAACAAGGUUCCGUAGGUGAACCUCGGAAGGAUCAUUAAUGGCUAUGAUUCUAGUCUUUGCUCUAAACAAAAACUAGAACCAUCUCUUAUCCUGUGCAAUGAAUUUGUCGCCUGGGGUUUGAAAAUAGUCUUUGGGCCCUCUCUUUCUUGGGAGCCUUUAGCUGACCCCAAUAGGCAUUCUUUAUUAAACCACUUUUUUGUAACUGAAAAACCAAAUUUUUUUCUUGAUGGAUCUUAUCAUUGAGAAGUUUAACCAAAUGGGUUGUAUAUAUUCUAGUAUAUACGGCUUGUUUGAAAAACAACUUUUAGCAAUGGAUCUCUUGGUUCUCGCAUCGAUGAAGAACGUAGCAAACUGCGAUAAGUAGUGUGAAUUGCAUUUAGUGAAUCAUCGAAUCUUUGAACGCACCUUGCACUCACUGGUAUUCCGGUGAGUACGCCUGUUUCAGUAUCAUUGAAAACACACAAUCAAAACAUUUCUUUUGGUUUGAUUGGCUUUGGGUCUAUCAAAAAGUUUGGCUUGUUUCUUACAAGCCAAGCGGCCUGAAAUAUAUUGUCUGGCUAAUUGCAUCGUUGAUGAUCGCUAUUAGACUUUGGCUUUUUUAAAUGAACUGGAGGUUGAUUAACCAGUUUUAGCUUUAGUCAAAUGGUCAUUGUAAAAAAAAUCUCGAUCUUGGCUAGGUGUUUAUAGCCGAAAAUUUUUUUUUGGCUAUAACCGAAACCAAUAUAAUCACAUUUAGUUAUCGAUCUGAAAUCAGGUGGGACUCCCGCUGAACUUAAGCAUAUCAAUAAGC
rnacentral:misc_RNA from 1 species